rnacentral:rRNA from 1 species
AUGGGACAUAAUUAUUACUAGGAACCCGUAUGGCCCAACAACCUUUCAUAUUUUUUUUCAGUAGUAAUUCUAUGUACUAUUGCAUGUAAUGUAGGUUUAGCGGUUCUCGAGUCAUCAAUGAUUAGUGAAUCGACAAAUCCGUUUGCAACUCCUCUGGAAAUAUUACACGAGUGGUACUUCUUUCCCGUGUUUCAAAUACUCCGUAUGCUACCCAAUAAGUUAUUGGUCGUUCUCUUAAUGGUUUCUGUGCCAACAGGCUUAUUGACAGUAACUUUUCUAGAAAAUGUCAAUAAAUUCCAAAUUCUAUUUCGCCCCCCAAUAGCUAUGACUUUUUUUUAA